CACGUAGGGCGCGAGCGUUGUCCGGAAUUAUUGGGCGUAAAGAGCUCGUAGGCGGCUUGUCGCGUCGACUGUGAAAACCCGAGGCUCAACUUCGGGCUUGCAGUCGAUACGGGCAGGCUAGAGUUCGGUAGGGGAGACUGGAAUUCCUGGUGUAGCGGUGAAAUGCGCAGAUAUCAGGAGGAACACCGAUGGCGAAGGCAGGUCUCUGGGCCGAUACUGACGCUGAGGAGCGAAAGCGUGGGGAGCGAACAGG
rnacentral:rRNA from 1 species